ensembl:lncRNA
AUUUCAUUCCAGGAUGAAGAUCCUCCUCAUCUUCAUCCUCUGCCUUCUCUCAGGUCCAGUAGACUGCUCUGAUGUGACUGGUUACUCAGGAGGAAGUGUCACUAUGAUAUCUAAUAUCAACUGGUACACAAGCAAUAGUAAAUAUAUUUGUAAGGUGAAAGGAAACGACUGCAUCGAUAUAAUACGCGCUGAGACCAAACGCCACCAAACACAAGAAGGAAGAUUUUUUUUGUAUUCAAACACAGAUAAGUUCUUCCUGGUACUGAUCAGAAAGCUGAAGCCACAGGAUGCUGGAACAUACAGAUUUGGAUUGGAGAAUCAGAGCAACGCCACUGUGAACCUAAAAGUUGUUAAUG